rnacentral:rRNA from 1 species
UUACCCGCUGAAAUUAAGCAUAUCAAUAAGCGGAGGAAAAGAAACUAACAAGGAUUCCCCUAGUAACUGCGAGUGAAGCGGGAAAAGCUCAAAUUUAAAAUCUGGCGGUCUCUGGCCGUCCGAGUUGUAAUCUAGAGAAGUAAUGCCCGUGCUGGACCGUGUAUAAGUCUCCUGGGAUGGGGCGUCAUAGAGGGUGAGAAUCCCGUCUUUGACACGGACUACCAGUGCAUUGUGGUAUGCUCUCAAAGAGUCGAGUUGUUUGGGAAUGCAGCUCAAAAUGGGUGGUAAAUUCCAUCUAAAGCUAAAUAUUGGCGAGAGACCGAUAGCGAACAAGUACCGUGAGGGAAAGAUGAAAAGAACUUUGGAAAGAGAGUUAAACAGUACGUGAAAUUGCUGAAAGGGAAACGCUUGAAGUCAGUCGCGUUGGCCGGGGAUCAGCCUUGCUUUUGCAUGGUGUAUUUUCUGGUUGACGGGUCAGCAUCAAUUUUGACCGCUGGAAAAAGACCUGGGGAAUGUGGCAGCUUCGGCUGUGUUAUAGCCCCUAGUCGCAUACAGUGGUUGGGAUUGAGGAACUCAGCACGCCGCAAGGCCGGGUUUCGACCACGUUCGUGCUUAGGAUGCUGGCAUAAUGGCUUUAAGCGACCCGUCUUGAAACACGGACCAAGGAGUCUAACAUGCCUGCGAGUAUUUGGGUGGAAAACCCAAGUGCGUAAUGAAAGUGAAAGUUGAGAUCCCUGUCGUGGGGAGCAUCGACGCCCGGACCAGAACUUUUGGGACGGAUCCGCGGUGGAGCAUGUAUGUUGGGACCCGAAAGAUGGUGAACUAUGCCUGAAUAGGGUGAAGCCAGAGGAAACUCUGGUGGAGGCUCGUAGCGAUUCUGACGUGCAAAUCGAUCGUCAAAUUUGGGUAUAGGGGCGAAAGACUAAUCGAACCAUCAAGGGC